rnacentral:rRNA from 1 species
AGUGAACGCUGGCUGUAGGCCUAACAUAUUCAACUUGAACGGCAGCACAGUAAGAGCUUGCUCUUACGUGUGGCGAGUCGCGGACGGGUGAGGAAUACAUCGUAAUCUACUUUUUCGGGGGGGAUAACGUAUGGAAACUUACGCUAAUACCGCAUACGACCUACGGGUGAAAGCAGGGGAUCUUCGCACCUUGCUCGAAUGAAUACGCCGAUGCCGGAUUAGCUAGUUGGCUGGGUAAAGGCGCACCAAGGCGACGAUCCGUAGCUGGUCUGAGAGGAUGAUCAGCCACACUGGAACUGAGACACGGUCCAGACUCCUACGGGAGGCAGCAGUGGGGAAUAUUGGACAAUGGGCGCAAGCCUGAUCCAGCCAUACCGCGUGGGUGAAGAAGGCCUUCGGGUUGUAAAGCCCUUUUGUUGGGAAAGAAAAGCAGCAGGUUAAUACCCCGCUGUUCUGACGGUACCCAAAGAAUAAGCACCGGCUAACUUCGUG